AUUGAACGCUGGCGGCAUGCUUUACACAUGCAAGUCGGACGGCAGCGGGGUAGUGCUUGCAUUACUGCCGGCGAGUGGCGAACGGGUGAGUAUAAUAUUGGAACGUACCGAGUAAUGGGGGAUAACUAUCCGAAAGGAUGGCUAAUACCGCAUACGUCCUGAGGGAGAAAGCGGGGGACAGGCAACUGCCUCGCGUUAUUUGAGCGGCCAAUAUCGGAUUAGCUAGUUGGUGGGGUAAAGGCUUACCAAGGCGACGAUCCGUAGCGGGUCUGAGAGGAUGAUCCGCCACACUGGGACUGAGACACGGCCCAGACUCCUACGGGAGGCAGCAGUGGGGAAUUUUGGACAAUGGGGGGAACCCUGAUCCAGCCAUGCCGCGUGUAUGAAGAAGGCCUUAGGGUUGUAAAGUACUUUUGUUAGGGAAGAAAAGGCGUUUGCUAAUAUCAGAUGCUGAUGACGG
rnacentral:rRNA from 1 species